rnacentral:rRNA from 2 species
UGGGGAAUAUUGGACAAUGGGGGAAACCCUGAUCCAGCCAUGCCGCGUGAGUGAAGAAGGCCCUAGGGUUGUAAAGCUCUUUCGACGGGGACGAUGAUGACGGUACCCGUAGAAGAAGCCCCGGCUAACUUCGUGCCAGCAGCCGCGGUAAUACGAAGGGGGCAAGCGUUGUUCGGAUUUACUGGGCGUAAAGGGCGCGUAGGCGGAUUCGUAAGUCAGAGGUGAAAGCCCUGGGCUCAACCCGGGAAUGGCCUUUGAGACUGCAAGUCUUGAGUGCGAGAGAGGGUGGCGGAAUACCCAGUGUAGAGGUGAAAUUCGUAGAUAUUGGGUAGAACACCGGUGGCGAAGGCGGCCACCUGGCUCGCAACUGACGCUGAGGCGCGAAAGCGUGGGGAGCAAACAGG